rnacentral:lncRNA from 1 species
UUCGGGAAAUUUCUUUCAAUAAACACUUGGAGUUUUUGAAAACAUUUUUGAGAAUGACGUCAUGAUGCCGCACUGUAUUUACAGUCCGUUGAGGAUUUCGUCAUUUGGUGAUUUUGUCAUACUACAUUAUACCAUAAUGGAAUAGUGACUUUAAGUCAAAUUCACACUAAGUAAUACUGCAUUGAUGACUCCAUCAUUUUUAUCAUCUCUGCACCAGGUCAAAUGGUACAUAAGUGAUAAAUAAAAACAAUUUUUUUUUUUAAAAGCACAUAGUGCGUAUUUAUCUUGAUGUCAAAAUAUCGAAGUUUAGCAUAGCUAGGAGUUUAGGAAAACCUAAGUCUCCACUAAUGAUCAUUUGCUUAAACAUUCUAUCUAUUCCUAUUAUCCUUAACACUCCAUUCACACACAACUAUACCCAGUUCAUAAAACCACACUUAUGAGUUCAUAACCUGGCCACAAUUAUAUGAGUUUACGAACUUACCCUAGUCUGACCUUUGGCGUCCGUUCGCUGAGGGGCUCAUAAACAUUUCAUAUAACUAUGAGUCAAGAAUGUCACAUAAGUAUGAGUUCUAAGAACUCGUACUUAAUCCUAUAUUCUCUACCUAUGACCUAUUUAUCUGUAUAUAACAACUAGCGUGACACAACAUUUCAAUUAUUACCAAUGCCACCAACUAAGUAGUUUUUACACCAAGUACGAUUCCCCGCCCAUACAAGAAAUCAUACAACUCAGUUGUUGACACGAGUCCUCAUUGAAAUCCCCACCUAAUACUUAACCCCCUUCUCAAUACGAAUUUCAUUUAAUCCGUAUUCAUAAUCCUUUUCUGAAUCUGUACCAUUCACACAGCAAUCAUGCUUUAAACUUUUCAAUCAUCAGAUUGAUU